GCCUGGCUGGUUCAGUUGGUGGAACAUACAGCUCUUGAUCUUGGGGUUGUGGGUUCAAGCCCCAUGUUGGGUG
rnacentral:tRNA from 1 species